rnacentral:rRNA from 1 species
CACCGCGGUUAUACGAGAGGCUCAAGUUGACAGACAACGGCGUAAAGAGUGGUUAGGGAAACUUUCAAACUAAAGCCGAACGUCCUCAAAGCUGUUUAACGCUUCCGAGUUAAGAAGCCCCACUACGAAAGUGGCUUUACUCCACCUGACCCCACGAAAGCUGUGAAA